AAGAUUUUAAGUUAAAAUUAAACUAUUAACCUUCAAAGUUAAUUAUAAUAAAUUAUUUAUUAAAUCUUA
rnacentral:tRNA from 1 species